rnacentral:rRNA from 1 species
UACAGAGGGGCGAGCGUUGUUCGGAAUUACUGGGCGUAAAGGGCGCGUAGGUGGCCUGUUAAGUCGAACGUGAAAUCCCCGGGCUCAACCCGGGAACUGCGUCCGAGACUGGCAGGCUCGAAUCCGGGAGAGGGAUGCAGAAUUCCAGGUGUAGCGGUGAAAUGCGUAGAUAUCUGGAGGAAUACCGGUGGCGAAGGCGGCAUCCUGGACCGGCAUUGACGCUGAUGAGCGAAAGCUAGGGGAGCAAACGGG